CAGCAGCCACGGAAUACGUAGGUGGCAAGCGUUGUCCGGAAUUAUUGGGCGUAAAGGGCUCGCAGGCGGCUUCUUAAGUCUGAUGUGAAAGCCCCCGGCUCAACCGGGGAGGGUCAUUGGAAACUGGGAAACUUGAGUGCAGAAGAGGAGAGUGGAAUUCCACGUGUAGCGGUGAAAUGCGUAGAGAUGUGGAGGAACACCAGUGGCGAAGGCGACUCUCUGGUCUGUAACUGACGCUGAGGAGCGAAAGCGUGGGGAGCGAACAGGAUUAGAGACCCCUGUAGUCCCUGUCUCUUAUACA
rnacentral:rRNA from 1 species